rnacentral:rRNA from 1 species
GACGAACGCUGGCGGCGUGCUUAACACAUGCAAGUCGAACGGAAAGGCCCCUUUGGGGGUCCUCGAGUGGCGGACGGGUGGGUAACACGUGCGUAACCUGCCCUUGACUUCGGGAUAACUUCAGGAAACUGGGGCUAAUACCGGAUAGGAAUCCUUGCUGCAUGGUGGGGGUUGGAAAGCUUCGGCGGGUUUGGGUGGACUCGCGGCGUAUGAGCUUGUUGGUGGGGUAGUGGCUUACCAAGGCGUUGACGGGUAGCCGGCCUGAGAGGGCGACCGGCCACACUGGGACUGAGACGCGGCCCAGAGGCCUACGGGAGGCAGCAGUGGGGAAUGGGGGACAAUGGGCGAGAGCGUGAUGAAGCAAUGCGGGGUGUGUGAAGAAGGCCUUCGGGUUGGAGAGCAGUGUUGUCCGGAAAGAAAUAGUUGGCCCGAAUACGGGCGGGGGAUGACGGUACCGGAAGAAUAAGCACCGGCUAACUACGUG